rnacentral:rRNA from 1 species
GCGCAGCAGGCGAGAAUUUUUCUCAGUGGGGGCAACCCUGAAGGAGCGACGCCGCGUGGAGGAUGAAGGCUUUCGGGUUGUAAACUCCUGUCAUUUGAGAACAAGUGUAGCCAAGUAACUACUGGCUACUUGAUAGUAUCAGAAGAGGAAGAGACGGCUAACUCUGUGCCAGCAGCCGCGGUAAUACAGAGGUCUCAAGCGUUGUUCGGAUUCAUUGGGCGUAAAGGGUGCGUAGGUGGCGCCAUAAGUCGGGUGUGAAAUCUCGGGGCUUAACUCCGAAACUGCAUUCGAUACUGUGGUGCUUGAGGACUGGAGAGGAGACUGGAAUUCAUGGUGUAGCAGUGAAAUGCGUAGAGAUCAUGAGGAAGACCAGUAGCGAAGGCGGGUCUCUGGACAGUUCCUGACACUGAGGCACGAAGGCCAGGGGAGCGAACGGGAUUAGAUACCUGGGUAGU